AUAGCGUAUAUUAAAGUUGCUGCAGUUAAAAAGCUCGUAGUUGAAUUUCGGGAUCAAUAUGUUGGUCGUGCCUCGGUACGUACUAGCUUAUUGGUUUCUUCCUUCUGACGAACCAUAAUGUCAUUUAUUUGGUGUUAUGGGAAUCAGGACUGUUACUUUGAAAAAAUUAGAGUGUUUAAAGCAGGCUCAUGCUUGAAUACAUUAGCAUGGAAUAAUGAAAUAGGACGUUUGAUUCUAUUUUGUUGGUUUCUAGGAUCGACGUAAUGAUUAAUAGGGAUAGUUGGGGGCAUUAGUAUUCAAUUGUCAGAGGUGAAAUUCUUGGAUUUAUUGAAGACUAACUACUG
rnacentral:rRNA from 1 species